rnacentral:rRNA from 1 species
AGUGAACGCUGGCGGUAGGCCUAACACAUGCAAGUCGAACGGCAGCACAGUAAGAGCUUGCUCUUACGGGUGGCGAGUGGCGGACGGGUGAGGAAUACAUCGGAAUCUACUUUUUCGUGGGGGAUAACGUAGGGACACUUACGCUAAUACCGCAUACGACCUACGGGUGAAAGCAGGGGACCUUCGGACCUUGCGCGAUUGAAUGAGCCGAUGUCGGAUUAGCUAGUUGGCGGGGUAAAGGCCCACCAAGGCGACGAUCCGUAGCUGGUCUGAGAGGAUGAUCAGCCACACUGGAACUGAGACACGGUCCAGACUCCUACGGGAGGCAGCAGUGGGGAAUAUUGGACAAUGGGCGCAAGCCUGAUCCAGCCAUACCGCGUGGGUGAAGAAGGCCUUCGGGUUGUAAAGCCCUUUUGUUGGGGAAGAAAAGCAGCAGGUUAAUACCCCGCUGUUCUGACGGUACCCAAAGAAUAAGCACCGGCUAACUUCGUG